CGGCGGACGGGUGAGUAACACGUGGGUAACCUACCUAUAAGACUGGAAUAACUCCGGGAAACCGGGGCUAAUGCAGGAUAACAUGUUGAACCGCAUGGUUCUACAGUGAAAGGCGGCUUUGCUGUCACUUAUAGAUGGACCCGCGCCGUAUUAGCUAGUUGGUGAGGUAACGGCUCACCAAGGCAACGAUACGUAGCCGACCUGAGAGGGUGAUCGGCCACACUGGAACUGAGACACGGUCCAG
rnacentral:rRNA from 1 species